CAAUAGCGUAUAUUAAAGUUGUUGCAGUUAAAAAGCUCGUAGUUGGAUCUCAGGUGCAGGCGGGCGGUCCGGCUCGCGCCGGUCACUGCUCGUAUCUCCUGCCCUACCGUUUGCCGGCUCUCUCCCGUGGGUGCUCUUCACUGAGCGUCCCGGGUGGCCGGUGCGUUUACUUUGAAAAAAUUAGAGUGUUCAAAGCAGGCCUCGGCAGCCUGAAUAAUGGUGCAUGGAAUAAUGGAAUAGGACCUCGGUUCUAUUUUGUUGGUUUUCGGAACGGAGGUAAUGAUUAACAGGGACAAACGGGGGCAUUCGUAUUGCGGCGUUAGAGGUGAAAUUCUUGGAUCGCCGCAAGACGAGCUACUGCGAAAGCAUUUGUCAAGAAUGUUUUCAUUAGUCAAGAACGAAAGUCAGAGGCG
rnacentral:rRNA from 3 species